AGAGGGCGGGAGAGAGGAAAGGAAGGAGGGCAUUGGGAGCUGAGGCCCCACCUUUCAUUUCAGAAAAGUGCACAGGCAGAGCGGGCUGAGUCACAGGCACAGGUGAGGAACUCAACUCAAACUCCUCUCUCUGGGAAAACGCGGUGCUUGCUCCUCCCGGAGUGGCCUUGGCAGGGUGUUGGAGCCCUCGGUCUGCCCCGUCCGGUCUCUGGGGCCAAGGCUGGGUUUCCCUCAUGUAUGGCAAGAGCUCUACUCGUGCGGUGCUUCUUCUCCUUGGCAUACAGCUCACAGCUCUUUGGCCUAUAGCAGCUGUGGAAAUUUAUACCUCCCGGGUGCUGGAGGCUGUUAAUGGGACAGAUGCUCGGUUAAAAUGCACUUUCUCCAGCUUUGCCCCUGUGGGUGAUGCUCUAACAGUGACCUGGAAUUUUCGUCCUCUAGACGGGGGACCUGAGCAGUUUGUAAGUAGAUUAUCAUCAUUUUCCAGGGUACUCUUGUUUAGGGAAAUAAUAAGCCAGUCCAUUUCUCCUUUCCCUUCCAGUAUUUUUCUUAGCAGCAAGCACAAGGUUAAGCUCGGAAACAAUUCUUGGGACAGAGACUGAGAGGCCGUUGAAGGGGAAAGCAAGUGACAGAGCUGCAGACAGGACAGUUGGGUUUGCUGGUGUUUCACUUCCGCUCCCACCAUCUUGGCCUCCUUGCCUGGGUGCUGAGUAAGAAGACCUUUUGCCAUUUCCCCUCUCUAGGUAUUCUACUACCACAUAGAUCCCUUCCAACCCAUGAGUGGGCGGUUUAAGGACCGGGUGUCUUGGGAUGGGAAUCCUGAGCGGUACGAUGCCUCCAUCCUUCUCUGGAAACUGCAGUUCGACGACAAUGGGACAUACACCUGCCAGGUGAAGAACCCACCUGAUGUUGAUGGGGUGAUAGGGGAGAUCCGGCUCAGCGUCGUGCACACUGUACGCUUCUCUGAGAUCCACUUCCUGGCUCUGGCCAUUGGCUCUGCCUGUGCACUGAUGAUCAUAAUAGUAAUUGUAGUGGUCCUCUUCCAGCAUUACCGGAAAAAGCGAUGGGCCGAAAGAGCUCAUAAAGUGGUGGAGAUAAAAUCGUAAGGCUGGGCAGUUCUGGGAAAGUUCUAACACUCUUAUGGCGACUCUUGGUAUUUUGCAGUGGGCUAAAUAGUUGCUGAACAGAUGUUUUUCCCUUUAAGUAAAUCCUAUAUAAAAGAAUUCACAUUUGCAGGACAGAUAAAUCAGGUAUGAACUAGUAACUUUACAAAAGCUUUCUUAAUUUUACAAAAUAUUUCCUUAUGGGAUUUCUUUACUAUGUGGGGGGGUUGAUUUUACAAAAAUGUGCUAUGUAAAGCUUUUCUAAAAAAUCCCUUAUGUUUAAAGUGAAGCAUACAUUUGUAAAAACCACUGGGCUAGGCAGUCAGCAGGGCCACUAUGAGUCAGGGCUUAGGAAAGUCUGUUGUGCUGAUAGCAGGUGUUCAUUAAAUGUAUUUUAAAAUUGAGAUAAAAUUUACCCACCAUAAAAUUUACCUUUUUCAUUUUCACAAAGUUGUGCAGCAAUCAUCACUAAUUGCAGAACGUUUUUAAGCUCCCUCCCGUAAAGAAACCCCAUAUCCCUAGCUAUCACUCCCUAUUAUCCCCUCCUACCAGCCCCCGACAACUACUCAUCUACUUUCUGUCUCUAUGGAUUUGCUUAUUCUGGACAUUUCAUUUAAAUAGAAUCAUACAAUAUGUGGUCUUUUAUGCCCAGCUUCUUUCACUUAGCAUAAUGCUUUCAAGGCUCAUCCUUGUUGAUGUAUUAGUAUUUCUUUCCUUUUUAUGACUGCAUAAUAUUCCAUUGUAUGAAUAUACCACAUAUUGUUUGUCCAUUCAAUUGAUGGGCAUUUAGGUUUUUUCUGCUUGUUGGCUGUUGUG
rnacentral:lncRNA from 1 species